rnacentral:rRNA from 1 species
UGAGGAAUAUUGCGCAAUGGGGGCAACCCUGACGCAGCGACGCCGCGUGAGUGAGGAAGGCCUUCGGGUCGUAAAGCUCUGUCAAAGGGAAAGAAAUGCAUAAUGGCUAAUACCUGUUAUGUUUGACGGUACCCUUAAAGGAAGCACCGGCUAACUCCGUGCCAGCAGCCGCGGUAAUACGGAGGGUGCAAGCGUUGUUCGGAAUUACUGGGCGUAAAGGGCGCGUAGGCGGUUUGAUAAGUCAGAUGUGAAAGCCCACGGCUUAACUAUGGAAGUGCAUUUGAAACUGUCAGACUUGAGUACCAGAGGGGAAAGUGGAAUUCCCGGUGUAGAGGUGAAAUUCGUAGAUAUCAGGAGGAACACCGGUGGCGAAGGCGACUUUCUGGCCCGAUACUGACGCUCAGGCGCGAAAGCGUGGGGAGCAAACA